rnacentral:rRNA from 1 species
CCUACGGGUGGCUGCAGUAGGGAAUAUUGGGCAAUGGAGGCAACUCUGACCCAGCCAUGCCGCGUGCAGGAAGAAGGCCCUCUGGGUUGUAAACUGCUUUUGACGGGGGAGAACACAUCACUUGCGAGUGAUGCUGACGGUACCCGCAGAAUAAGCACCGGCUAACUACGUGCCAGCAGCCGCGGUAAUACGUAGGGUGCAAGCGUUGUCCGGAUUCACUGGGUUUAAAGGGUGCGCAGGCGGCCUGCCAAGUCGGCGUUCAAAGUCCGGGGCCU